ACCGUAGACGCGAAACAGUCGACGUCAGUGCAUUGUUAAAAGUAGUCGUCAAAGUGUCGAACUAGAAGCUAAUAAAAAAUUGAAACCUUCUAGGUUAUCACUUCUCAGCUUACAGUAAUGGCUCACUGCCAAUGUGUGUAGUUGCAUGUAGAGGUCAUUCAUGGUCCUGUUAAAGCACAAACCAAGUCCCACGAGUACUUUUUGGAGGCCAGCUUUCACACAUUCUGUGAAACCACUCUUUACAUCCCGUACACUUUAUGGUGUGCCAAGCCUGUGUUCUUGUGGAAUUCAGUGGCUGAAAAUCUAUUCUUCGACAACUGCAGGAAUGCUGACAUAACUUAACUUAACAGGCAUUUUUUUCAAAUGUUGCCUCAUGACGCCCCUGUUAUAGAUGGACUGUGAUGGAUCUUCACCCAAUGCUAGAUUUACGGCAUUUACAAUCGCAUGAAGGCCACAAUCAUUCGGCAAUUGCUUUUGACAUCUAAAACUUUGAUCCUCCCAAACUAUCAUAAAUGGAAACCGAAUCUUCUCCUUUCGAUUUGGAUGCCACAACCCAAUGCCCCUUGCCAUCGUGGAUUAUUUGUAUCCAUUUUUCACUAGGAGCAGCGGGAAAUUCCAGAUCCCAGCCGAGAGUCGUAUCAAAUAAUCUACCAAUAUUUGGAAACUGAUGUUGGAUCAGGUUUAUAGCUGCAUUGAUAUGGCUUGAUUCAAGCCAAUACCCCGGAACGGUAAUAUCUUCGAUUUCGGCUUUUGAAAAAUUCACCUGUUUGUUUGAUCUCUGCGACCCACGGGUCUGAUAGUGACAGACCGGAGUCUGAAAAUGUAAAUAGAUAAUUAGGUACAUGUUUAAUAU